rnacentral:lncRNA from 10 species
CUGUAGCUGCUGCACGUUAUGAGUGUGUUCCUGGCAUGACUGCUUCUAACAGCGACCAUUUCAUUAAGUUUUUAAGUGCCUGGUAAUUGCUUGGUUAUGACCGGUGUCUGCUCCAUGGCAGCCUCUUCCUGGGACCAGAUCUGAACAGUCUGGAGAGAGGAGCUGUGGUGGCAGCAGACAGAUCUCUGCUUCAGGGGCCAGGUGUCUAGAAGAAAUGCUGAGGCAGUGUCACGCUGGUGUCUGUCCUCCUUACAGAAUGCCUGAACAGUUCCAUUGACUCAAAGUGAAGAUCAAAAGAACCAAAUGACAGCAAUAGCCAAGUGUAAUCAUCAGUAACCCUGUGUUCUAUCCACAGUUAAAAGAAUAUUGGCAGAGAAACAGCCUUGGUGUUCCAGCAGGAGUGAAGAGGAACAGGAAAACGAGUGGCAGUAGCCCUGAAACAGCCACUUCUGGUGGUUGCCACUCACCUGAGGAUAGAUGGAGUCUCGUUCUGUCACCCAGGCUGGAGUGCAGUGGCGCAAUCUCGGCUCGCUGCAAGCUCUGCCUCCCGGAUUCCCGCCAUUCUCCUGCCUCAGCCUCCCUAGUAGCUGGGACUACAGGCGCCCCCCACCAUGCCCGGCUAAUUUUUGAUAUUUUUAGUAGAGACAGGGUUUCACUGUGUUAGCCAGGAUGGUCUCGAUCUCCUGACCUCGUGAUCCACCUGCCUCGGCCUCCCAAAGUGCUGGGAUUACAUGUGUGAGCCACCACACCCGGCCCCAUUUUUAAUACGUUUUUUAAAGAUGCAUAUAAAAUGCAUUACCCUCUGGAAGAUUCCAGUAACUUACUGAAGCAAGUUUCUCCUCUACAUAUACCUAUUUCUGCCAUGAGUAACUGUUCAUUUUCAGUGAGUCAUUUGAGUUUCUGUUAUUCAGGUAUACAGAGUUCCUGUUGUCUUUUUAGUCAACAAAGUUUAACAAAGACCAUAAUAAAGAUGGCUUUCAGCAGCUCUGUUAUUGGGAA